UUACGGUCACAUCAUAUAGGAACACCGGUUCCCUUACGAUCACCGAAAUUAAGCAAUGUCCACCCUGAUCAAUACCUGGAUGAGUAACCGCUUGGGAAUAUUAGAUGAUGUAA